rnacentral:rRNA from 1 species
GACGAACGCUGGCGGCGUGCCUAAUACAUGCAAGUCGAGCGCAGGAAGCCGUCUGAACCCUUCGGGGGGACGACGGUGGAAUGAGCGGCGGACGGGUGAGUAACACGUAAAGAACCUGCCCAUAGGUCUGGGAUAACCACGAGAAAUCGGGGCUAAUACCGGAUGUGUCAUCGGACCGCAUGGUCCGCUGAUGAAAGGCGCUCCGGCGUCGCCCAUGGAUGGCUUUGCGGUGCAUUAGCUAGUUGAUGGGGUAACGGACCACCAAGGCGACGAUGCAUAGCCGACCUGAGAGGGUGAUCGGCCACACUGGGACUGAGACACGGCCCAGACUCCUACGGGAGGCAGCAGUAGGGAAUCUUCCACAAUGGACGAAAGUCUGAUGGAGCAACGCCGCGUGAACGAUGAAGGCUUUCGGGUCGUAAAGUUCUGUUGUAAGGGAAGAACAAGUGCCGCAGGCAAUGGCGGCACCUUGACGGUACCUUGCGAGAAAGCCACGGCUAACUACGUGCCAGCCGCCGCCGUAA